GGCCUCAUCGUCUAGCGGCCUAGGACGUCGCCCUCUCACGGCGAAAACAGGGGUUCGAUUCCCCUUGGGGCUACCA
rnacentral:tRNA from 1 species